rnacentral:rRNA from 1 species
UACGUAGGGCGCAAGCGUUGUUCGGAGUUACUGGGCGUAAAGGGUGCGUAGGCGGCUCUAUAAGUAUGGUGUGAAAUCUCCCGGCUUAACUGGGAGGGUGCGCUAUAGACUGUGGGGCUAGAGUGCGGGAGAGGAAAGUGGAAUUCCUGGUGUAGCGGUGAAAUGCGUAGAUAUCAGGAGGAACACCGGUGGUGUAAACGGCUUUCUGGACCGUAACUGACGCUGAUGAGCGAAAGCGUGGGGAGCGAACAGG